rnacentral:siRNA from 1 species
UACCAAGCGACCCCACCGAUCC